UACAGAGGUGGCAAGCGUUGUUCGGAAUUACUGGGCGUAAAGGGCGCGUAGGCGGCACGUCAAGUCCCGUGUGAAAGCCCCCGGCUCAACCGGGGAACUGCACGGGAAACUAGCAGGCUUGAGUUCGGGAGAGGGAAGCGGAAUUUCGGGUGUAGCGGUGAAAUGCGCAGAUAUCCGAAGGAACACCGGUGGCGAAGGCGGCUUCCUGGACCGACACUGACGCUGAGGCGCGAAAGCUAGGGGAGCAAACGGG
rnacentral:rRNA from 1 species